rnacentral:misc_RNA from 1 species
CCGAAUCGUUGACACGAGUUGUUGCUGGCCUCCGAACGGGGGCACGUGCACGCUCUGUUUACACAUCCACCCACCCCUGUGCACCUUUUGUAGUUCUGCGGUCGGGACGCUCCGCUUCCCUUCCGUGGCUCUAUGUCUUUACACACACACACGUUAAAGAAGUCUUGUGGAAUGUACGCCGCGUUUAACGCAAUACAAUA